UACAAAAACCAUAGAGUUGACAAAAACUAUAUGAAUCCAUCCUUUUAUUUUAGUGUUUUCCAUAGAGUUUCUCACAACGUUACCUAGAGGGAAAUCUGGCGCUGCCUAAAAUAUAUGCUAGGCAGUGGUAUCCAAUGGUAUAAUGGUAUGCAUGGAAGGCGUCGUUCUCGGAGAGACACGUGGAGAAACAGGACACCUUGAAGACUCGCUUGCCUCCAAGACGCUGCUGAUAUUUGCUGAUCCCUUUUACUCUAUAGUCUCUGGACAUACUAGACAGCAGUGAAUGUGUCACCACUGGAAGUAACAUCAAGGAGCCAAAGUCCUCACGAGGAAGACCGACAAAAGAGAGAUUAUUGGUCUGCAAGCUGCCCAUGCCAAGCCAUAAGAAGUUCAAUGGUCACUGUAAUGACAACAGCCACUGUCCAGGAGCCUGGGACUAAAGGCAUCUUAGCUACCCGAUGUGGUCACUCAUGUAGUACGGAGCAAGAAAUUGUCAAAGUGACAUACAUCAGCACAACAUGUUUUUGCUAAGAGUAUGCAUGCACACAGACAAUGGCUGUAACAAAUCUGAGAACAAUAAAUAAC